GGGUAUAUAGCUCAUGUGGUAGAGUGCGUGCUUAGCAUGCGCGAGGUCCUGGGUUCAAUCCCCAGUGCCUCCA
rnacentral:tRNA from 1 species